GCCAGAAGCACAUGGGGGUUGGAGAACGGACACUUUCCUUCUGUUUUUAAACCAUUCAGUGAACAGCUGGGUACCGAGAAAAUGAGCAGGUGAUUUCAGAUUUACGAAGCUGCAUGCUGACCCCCUAGGCAGAGCCUUUGAGAACAGAAGGAGAUCGUUCCUAACAGGGGCUUCUCCUUCACUGUGGGUCCCUAGAAUGGAGGUGAUGUGGAGCACAGACAGAUCUGAUCUUGAACAGACAGGCCUGGUGUCCACUGGAACCAAUUGAACACAAUUUGAGAGAAGCUGAUCUGACUCAACCCCUCAUGUUAGAGGUGAAGUCAUUGAGACCCAAAGAUGUCAUCUGCCAACUGCCAGAAAAUCUGAGUUCCAGAUCUUCAGUGCUCCGCCCCAUCUACUGCAGUCUCCUUGUGGCAAGACAUGGCUCUCAGCAGGAUCUCCUCCUUUCCUGUGUUUGCAAAUCAUCUCACCAGCAACUGCCCACCAUAAGUGCCCUCCAAAACCCAUAAAGCAACGGGUCUAUAAAGGAUGUUUCACGGAAGAGCUGAAUCAAAUUAAACUACCGUUUACUUUGGCCAUAGAAGCUCUGACAAAUAAAAUGAAAGAUGCCAUUGCCAUUUUCAUCAACUAAAACAAAUCUUUGCUGGGGAGAAAAAGAGGAGAAAAAAACUAAAAUGUCACUGGCCAACACUGUCAUUCCCUGCCAUUCAGUAAAUAAACAUAAUGUCUGUUGGUUGUCA
ensembl:lncRNA